AUUGAACGCUGGCGGCAUGCCUUACACAUGCAAGUCGAACGGCAGCACGGGAGCAAUCCUGGUGGCGAGUGGCGAACGGGUGAGUAAAGUAUCGGAACGUGCCCAGGCGUGGGGGAUAACGUAGCGAAAGUUACGCCAAUACCGCAUACGAUCUAUGGAUGAAAGCGGGGGAUCGCAAGACCUCGCGCGAUUGGAGCGGCCGAGAUCAGAUUAGGUAGUUGGUGGGGUAAAGGCUCACCAAGCCGACGAUCUGUAGCUGGUCUGAGAGGACGACCAGCCACACUGGGACUGAGACACGGCCCAGACUCCUACGGGAGGCAGCAGUGGGGAAUUUUGGACAAUGGGCGAAAGCCUGAUCCAGCCAUGCCGCGUGCAGGAUGAAGGCCUUCGGGUUGUAAACUGCUUUUGUACGGAACGAAAAGGUUUGGCCUAAUAAGCUGAGCUCAUGACGGUACCGUAAGAAUAAGCACCGGCUAACUACGUGCCAGCAGCCGCCGUAA
rnacentral:rRNA from 1 species